rnacentral:rRNA from 1 species
UACGGAGGGCGCGAGCGUUGUCCGGAAUCACUGGGCGUAAAGGGCGCGUAGGUGGCCCGUUAAGUGGCUGGUGAAAUCCCGCGGCUCAACUGCGGGGCUGCCGGUCAUACUGGCGAGCUAGAGCACGGUAGGGGCAGAUGGAAUUCCCGGUGUAGCGGUGGAAUGCGUAGAGAUCGGGAAGAAUACCAGUGGCGAAGGCGUUCUGCUGGGCCGUUGCUGACACUGAGGCGCGACAGCGUGGGGAGCAAACAGG